CCUACGGGAGGCAGCAGUGAGGAAUAUUGGUCAAUGGGCGAAAGCCUGAACCAGCAACGCCGCGUGAGGGAUGAAGGCCUUCGGGUCGUAAAGCUCUGUCAGAUGGGAAGAAAGUUUCGGCGGUGAACAAUCGCCGGGAUUGACGGUACCGUCAGAGGAAGCACCGGCUAACUCCGUGCCAGCAGCCGCGGUAAUACGGAGGGUGCAAGCGUUGUUCGGAAUUAUUGGGCGUAAAGAGCGUGUAGGCGGUCGGGUAAGUCAGAUGUGAAAUCCCUUGGCUUAACCAAGGAAGUGCAUUUGAAACUGCCCGGCUUGAGUACGGGAGGGGGAAGUGGAAUUCCCGGUGUAGAGGUGAAAUUCGUAGAUAUCGGGAGGAACACCGGUGGCGAAGGCGGCUUCCUGGACCGAUACUGACGCUGAGACGCGAAAGCGUGGGGAGCAAACAGGAUUAGAUACCCUGGUAGUCCACGCCGUAAACUUUGGGCACUUGGUGUUGCGGGUAUUGAUCCUUGCAGUGCCGAAGCUAAUGCAUUAAGUGCCCCGCCUGGGGAGUACGGCCGUAAGGUUAAAACUCAAAGGAAUUGACGG
rnacentral:rRNA from 1 species